AGCUGCUUAAAAAACCCCGGCUGGCAGUGCCGGGGUCCCAGUGGCGGGUUAUAAUGUGCUGGGAGGAGGUGGUGGGGCUGUGCCCGCAUCCCACGGUGCCUCAUGUGGGGCAGCAGGCUCAGCCAUGGGUGUCCCUGGGGACAUGGGAGCUGCUGAAGGCACGUGAUGACUGUACAGCCCCAGAAGCAUGGCCAGCGGCAAGAGGCGGGCAGAGCCGGAGGACAGCUCACUGCCAGCACGGGCACAGCCUGUGGAGAAUCCUGCCCCUGUUCCUACCGCCAAGCAGUGCAAAGCGGGGCUGGCUCCCAGCACAUCGCUCCUUGCUGAAA